AGAGUUUGAUCCUGGCUCAGGAUGAACGCUGGCGGCGUGCCUAAUACAUGCAAGUAGAACGCUGAAGCUUGGUGCUUGCACCGAGCGGAUGAGUUGCGAACGGGUGAGUAACGCGUAGGUAACCUGCCUCUUAGCGGGGGAUAACUAUUGGAAACGAUAGCUAAUACCGCAUAAAAGUCGAUAUCGCAUGAUAUUGAUUUGAAAGGUGCAAUUGCAUCACUAAGAGAUGGACCUGCGUUGUAUUAGCUAGUUGGUGAGGUAACGGCUCACCAAGGCGACGAUACAUAGCCGACCUGAGAGGGUGAUCGGCCACACUGGGACUGAGACACGGCCCAGACUCCUACGGGAGGCAGCAGUAGGGAAUCUUCGGCAAUGGGGGCAACCCUGACCGAGCAACGCCGCGUGAGUGAAGAAGGUUUUCGGAUCGUAAAGCUCUGUUGUAAGUCAAGAACGAGUGUGAGAGUGGAAAGUUCACACUGUGACGGUAGCUUACCAGAAAGGGACGGCUAACUACGUGCCAGCAGCCGCGGUAAUACGUAGGUCCCGAGCGUUGUCCGGAUUUAUUGGGCGUAAAGCGAGCGCAGGCGGUUUGAUAAGUCUGAAGUUAAAGGCUGUGGCUCAACCAUAGUUCGCUUUGGAAACUGUCAAACUUGAGUGCAGAAGGGGAGAGUGGAAUUCCAUGUGUAGCGGUGAAAUGCGUAGAUAUAUGGAGGAACACCGGUGGCGAAAGCGGCUCUCUGGUCUGUAACUGACGCUGAGGCUCGAAAGCGUGGGGAGCGAACAGGAUUAGAUACCCUGGUAGUCCACGCCGUAAACGAUGAGUGCUAGGUGUUGGAUCCUUUCCGGGAUUCAGUGCCGCAGCUAACGCAUUAAGCACUCCGCCUGGGGAGUACGACCGCAAGGUUGAAACUCAAAGGAAUUGACGGGGGCCCGCACAAGCGGUGGAGCAUGUGGUUUAAUUCGAAGCAACGCGAAGAACCUUACCAAGUCUUGACAUCCCUCUGACCGGUACUUAACCGUUCCUUUCCUUCGGGACAGAGGAGACAGGUGGUGCAUGGUUGUCGUCAGCUCGUGUCGUGAGAUGUUGGGUUAAGUCCCGCAACGAGCGCAACCCUUGUUGUCAGUUGCCAGCAUUAAGUUGGGCACUCUGGCGAGACUGCCGGUGACAAACCGGAGGAAGGUGGGGACGACGUCAAGUCAUCAUGCCCCUUAUGACCUGGGCUACACACGUGCUACAAUGGACGGUACAACGAGUCGCGAACUCGCUGGGCGAAUUUGAGCAGGCCAAAAAGUACUACGACCGGAUCUUGGUUCGCCACCCGGG
rnacentral:rRNA from 1 species